ensembl:lncRNA
CGGGCCAACCUCGGGCUUAACGGCCCACCCUCGGGCUUACCAGCCCUCCCAAACCAGGUGGGGCCCCACAAACGCUUCCCCUACCCAGUGCGGGCGGAGAAGCGGGGUCCAUAUGGCAGGUGAAGACGAGAAUCCACUCUGGAGCCGGAUUUGCCUUCUGCAGAAUGCAGACUAGCUGAAUCAUCAGCCCCAUCGCCCAAGGCAGGCAAAACAAGUGGAAUUCUUCAAAGACCAUACCUGGAUGGGGAAAUCCUCGGGGAAGGCCGGGGAACCCUGGGACAUCUUCCGCGAGGUGCAGGCCCUACCAGGCCUCGGGAGGAGGCAGGCCAAGUCGAUGACACUCAUUCUCCUGCAUUCUGACGUUUCCAGCAUGAAGAAGGUGUCCCUGGCGCUUCCGGUCCCAGGGACGCCCAGCAGAUUCUGAAAUCCCAGGAGGAAGCGCUGCCCAAGUGUGGAAUCUGCUGCCCAAGUAUGGAAUCUGCUACCCAGGGAGAGGGGCCAAAGUGGGCACUGCUCUCCCAGGGACCCCUAUUCCAGUGUGUCUGGGACCCACAAAAUCCUCCGUCCAGCAACCACAGCAACAGAAUCAGUCCUGACCCAACAUGACAGUCCCAAGUGACAAAAAGUUUGAUUGUAGCCAGGCGUGCCUAUAAUCCCAGGACUCCAGAG